rnacentral:tRNA from 1 species
GGGGAUUUAGCUCAGCGGCAUAAGCGCCUGCCUUGCAAGCAGGCGGUCCUGAGUUCGAUUCCCCG